rnacentral:rRNA from 1 species
GACGAACGCUGGCGGCGUGCUUAACACAUGCAAGUCGAACGGAAAGGCCCUGCUUUUGUGGGGUGCUCGAGUGGCGAACGGGUGAGUAACACGUGAGUAACCUGCCCUUGACUUUGGGAUAACUUCAGGAAACUGGGGCUAAUACCGGAUAGGAGCUCCUGCUGCAUGGUGGGGGUUGGAAAGUUUCGGCGGUUGGGGAUGGACUCGCGGCUUAUCAGCUUGUUGGUGGGGUAGUGGCUUACCAAGGCUUUGACGGGUAGCCGGCCUGGGAGGGUGACCGGCCACCAUGGGACUAAGGUACGGCCCAGACUCCUACGGGAGGCAGCAGGGGGGAAUAUUGCACAAUGGGCGGAAGCCUGAUGCAGCAACGCCGCGUGCGGGAUGACGGCCUUCGGGUUGUAAACCGCUUUCGCCUGUGACGAAGCGUGAGUGACGGUAAUGGGUAAAGAAGCACCGGCUAACUACGUG